GGUAGCAAUCUACAAAACUUGACUUGGUUCUAAAUUCCUUUUUAGAACUAAAAACAACUUGUAUAGCUUCAAAUACGAUUUUUUGAAAUUCCAGUGGCAGACAUCAUCAUUUUAGAAAGUCUUAUGAUAUACGGAAAUUGGAACGAAAGCGCCUUUUCACUACCCUCUCCCUCCAGAUUCUUCAGUAAUUUUUCUAUCUCCAAAAGACACACCACCAGGACUGUCUAGUAUCCCCCCCUCGUCUGAGUAACACUUAAAAAUUGCUCUAUGAUGGUCUAUGCAAAGGAGGAACCUCAGGGGAAGAACAAAACCUACUGAAGUUCAUAUUCAAGCCGAAAAUUAACAUGAUGCAAGUAUCGAUACAGAACUGUAUUAUCUAAUUCAGUCUCUCUUUGUAUACUAUCAAUCAAACUUUCUCAGGCUGGUUUCUCUGUGAGAAUGAAUACAGAUAAGCAACACCUAGAAAAUCCUUUCCAGUUUUUUAGACCCCACCCCUCCCUGCCGAAAAGUUCUCAGUUGGUUUCAGUGCCUCUGGCUGGUACAGUGAUGGGCUCAGUUUUAAAACCAAGUCCCUCAAAUGCAGAGUGACUUACUUUGGAAGAACAAGCUGUACAUUUGUCAAAUGCCAGGCUGACAGGAAGGACAUUAUCAAAUCGUGACAGAAAUCCCCGGAUCUAAAAACAAAACAAAACAAAACAAAACAAUUCACAUCAAGCUCAGAACGCCCAUACCUGUGAAACGUAUUUGUAGUUUCUGACAAGAAGUGGCAAACAAUAUGGUGGUCCUGAUACAGAUUACUAGCAAAAAUAAAGUUCGGCAUAGAGAUUUUCCCCUGUACCACAAUCAGUUUGAGGAAGAACUGUAUCAUGUCCUUUAUUACAUUAGGAGCCGGGGCCUACAACCUUUUCAUGUAUGUGAGACCUAAAAACACCAAAAUACAAAAUGAAAGCAGUAAACUGUAAAGUAUUGUUGUAAGAAAUGUCUUAAAAAAUUUAA